GGAAGCAGCAAUGGGAGGAAGCUUUGCUGUGAAUCAGUUGCUACUGAUGACUCCCUGGGAGGGAGCCUUGAGAGCAACCCAAGGGCCCUGAUUCAGGGCCCGGAAGAAGGGUGGAAGUUUCCAUCAAGACGUGGCAGAAGAGGAAGCAAGGUGGGACCCUGAGAGACAGGCCAGAGAGAGAGAGAGAGCUUGGCAGGGAUGACGGGCAGUCCAGGUUGCAGCAGGGAGCUGCAGCUGAACUCAGAGCUGCAUCCAGCAGCGAGAUGCCUCGGCCAUGGGCAACAUGCUACCAAACUACAGAGAAGAAAAAGACAGCAUCUGCCCCCAAAGAAUUUACCGUUGACAUCAUUUUGCUCCAUGCUAUGGAGGCUUUUGUGAGUUUAUUUGGACCAUACACAUUUGUAUUUGUAAAUAUGGAAACAAAAGCUUUAGUUUCAGCUGAGAGACUAUUCCCCUAGUGCAGGCACUAAGGAAGACGGCAAUAAAGCUAUAAGAUGUAUGCUGAGGACACAGCAGGACCACAUUUUGCAUCAGUGCAGAGGUUCUUAAUAAAGCUGUUGCUCACAGACCUCUGGGGACCAGCUGCCAUAAGGUCUGCCUGCCUCCAGGUGUGUUUAACUUAUACCAAAGGCCACUCAAGCACUUGGAGCAGCCCAAGACUGAGUGGAAGUAAAGGAGAUUUUAAAU